AUUGAACGCUGGCGGCAUGCCUUACACAUGCAAGUCGAACGGUAACAGGUUAAGCUGACGAGUGGCGAACGGGUGAGUAAUAUAUCGGAACGUGCCCAGUCGUGGGGGAUAACGUAGCGAAAGCUACGCUAAUACCGCAUACGAUCUACGGAUGAAAGCGGGGGAUCGCAAGACCUCGCGCGAUUGGAGCGGCCGAUAUCAGAUUAGGUUGUUGUGGAGGUAAAAGCUCACCAAGCCUGCGAUCUGUAGCUGGUCUGAGAGGACGACCAGCCACACUGGAACUGAGACACGGUCCAGACUCCUACGGGAGGCAGCAGUGGGGAAUUUUGGACAAUGGACGCAAGUCUGAUCCAGCAAUGCCGCGUGCAGGACGAAGGCCUUCGGGUUGUAAACUGCUUUUGUACGGAACGAAACGGUGAGCUCUAAUACAGUUUGCUAAUGACGGUACCGUAAGAAUAAGCACCGGCUAACUACGUGCCAGCAGCCGCCGUAA
rnacentral:rRNA from 1 species